GUAAAUCAACAGAACCGUCAUCUUUUGUAGUAUAG
rnacentral:guide_RNA from 1 species